UACAGAGGUGGCAAGCGUUGUUCGGAAUUACUGGGCGUAAAGGGCGCGUAGGCGGUCUUGUAAGUUCCGUGUGAAAUCCCUCGGCUCAACUGAGGAACCGCACGGAAAACUGCUUGGCUUGAGUUCGGGAGAGGGAAGCGGAAUUCCUGGUGUAGCGGUGAAAUGCGUAGAGAUCAGGAAGAACACCAGUGGCGAAGGCGCUCUGCUAGGCCGUAACUGACACUGAGGGACGAAAGCUAGGGGAGCGAAUGGG
rnacentral:rRNA from 1 species